UACAGAGGGGGCAAGCGUUGUCCGGAAUUACUGGGCGUACAGGGUGCGCAGGCGGCGUGGUAUGUGCCGAGUGACAAAUCCGAGCUUAACGCGGAAGGGUCUCGGUAGACAGCUACGCUAGAGUCCUUGAGAGGGGAAGUGGAAUUGCCGGUGUAGUGGUGAAAUGCGUGAGAGAUCGGCAGGAACACCCAGGGGGGAAACCAGCCGGGCUGGGGACGAGCUGACGCUCAGGGGCGAAAGCGUGGGGAGCGAACCGG
rnacentral:rRNA from 1 species